CUGGGCUAUGGUGACAUGUGCCCAGAGACAUGGUCAGGCAUGGUUGUGGGUGCCCUUUGUGCCCUCGCAGGCGUGCUGACCAUUGCCAUGCCCGUGCCGGUGAUCGUCAACAAU
rfam:Scleropages formosus scaffold12020, whole genome shotgun sequence.